rnacentral:rRNA from 1 species
UACAGAGGGUGCGAGCGUUGUCCGGAAUCACUGGGCGUAAAGGGCGCGUAGGCGGCUUGAUAAGCGUGCGGUGAAAGCCCGGGGCUCAACCCCGGGUCGGCCGUGCGAACUGUCGAGCUGGAGCACUGUAGAGGCAGGUGGAAUUCCGGGUGUAGCGGUGGAAUGCGUAGAGAUCCGGAAGAACACCGGUGGCGAAGGCGGCCUGCCUGGG